UCUUCAGCAAUGAGGAGGACAGCGGCGAAGGGAGAGUAAUAGGUAGAUACGUGCCCAAGGGUUCGGGAUAGCCACGCGAAAGUGUGAGUAAUACCGAAUAAUGUCCCCGGACCAAAGAUUUAUUGCCUUUGGAGCGGUCUACUUCCUAUUAGGUUGUUGGUGUGGUAAUGGCGCACCAAGCCGAAGAUGGGUAGCGGGUGUGAGAGCACGACCCGCCUCACUGGGACUGAGAUACUGCCCAGACACCUACGGGUGGCUGCAGUCGAGAAUCUUCCGCAAUGGACGAAAGUCUGACGGAGCGACGCCGCGUGAUGGACGAAGGCCCUCGGGUUGUAAACAUCUGUCGUAGGGGAGGAAAUUUUGACCGAUCCUAGGAGGAAGCACAGGCUAAACUCGUGCCAGCAGCCGCGGU
rnacentral:rRNA from 1 species